AACGGUUAAUACUCGUAAAUAAUAAAAUAAAUACAUAUAGUAUAUAUAUAAAUAAAGAAUUUAUAUAUAAUAAUAAAGUAAAUAAUUGAAUCAAUGCAAUCGUCAGUUAUAUUUUGGCUGUGAUAUACCUGAUGAUGAAGUUUUUAAUUUUAAUUUUUCAUAAUACUCAAGAGGACACGCAUUGAUUCAUUUAUUUAUUUUAAUCAUUAUUUAUUGAAAAAUCUAAAAUAUUUUUACCAAAUUGAAAUUUGUAAUACACGAUUAAAUUAUUUAAAUGAUUUGAUUAUAAUAUUUAAAAACAUUGUUACUGAAAUACUUAUCAAUUUAAUCGAAUGUAGGUUUAAUAAAAGAUUUAUUAAUAUAAACAAGUUAUAUUUUAUAAUUAUAAUCAUAACUAUAUGUGUAUUGAAUUUGUCAACAAACAGGUGACUAUAACUAUAACAAAUAUAUACAAAAUGUGCACACCUUUUUUUAAGCAACCGCUUGUAUUGAAGGUGUUAAGUUCUUAUUAAAUAGUUAAAACAUUAAAUUUCGAAACUAAAUUUAUAUGUACUGUGGGCACCUUUUUUUAAGCAACCGCUUGUAUUGAAGGUGUUAAGUUCUUAUUAAAUAGUUAAAACGUUAAAUUUCGAAACUAAAAUUAAAUGUACUGUAGGAACACCUUUUUUUAAGCAACCGCUUGUAUUGAAGGUGUUAAGUUCUUAUUAAAUAGUUAAAACGUUAAAUUUAGAAACUAAAAUUAAAUGCACUGUACGAAAUAAUUAUAAUAAAAUAAUUCACGAGAUGCAGUGUUAUGUGACAUCUACAAAUAGCAGUCAAAAUGUAAGAAUUAAGAUUUGUUUUUAUAUUUAUAUAUUCCGUAUAGGUAACAAAUUGCGUAGGAGUAAUAAUAUUUUGUUAAAUUAUUAUAAAAGAUGGUGUAUGUGUGUAUAAAAGAGUAUCGUGUGUGUUAACCUAUUAGUUGAUGCAUAGUUAAACUAUUAUAUUGUCGUUGAUAUAAAUUGGUUGUAUCGGUGGAUUAAUGGGCGGGGGAGAGGAGGACGUUACGGAACCUCGCUAUACAGGCCUAUGCAGGUCCGUUGUCUAAUAUCAUAAUUCUUUGUUUAUCGACAAUCGUUGCAAAAUAAUAUUUUAGUAUAGGUACUUAUACUUAUGAUAUAGACAAAGAGGGUACAAUAUAGUGCUGGGUGAUUUAGGUUAUUCGAUGGUAUGGUAACGCGCGCCGAGACACAAUUAUUUAUCAUCCCUUGUAUCGGCAGUCGCUGACAUUCUGAGACAUACGAUAUGCGUUAACCGCCCAAAUGGCGGGCGGAGUAUGGUGGGCUCGUUAAUAAUGAUUGCUAAUGGUAUGUUAUGAAAAAUAUUAUUUGGAAAAAUAAUAAUAACUUAUUAAAAUAUAUACGCUAUGUACAUGCAUAUUAUAUACGGUAUACAAAUUCGGUGUGGUGCUAAGCGCCCAACUCAUAGAGGAUCGUAAAG